UACGUAGGGUGCAAGCGUUGUCCGGAAUUAUUGGGCGUAAAGCGCGUGUAGGCGGCUUUGCAAGUCGGGUGUGAAAUCCCUCAGCUCAACUGAGGAAGUGCGCCUGAAACUGCAGAGCUUGAGUACCGGAGAGGAUGGCGGAAUUCCCCAAGUAGAGGUGAAAUUCGUAGAUAUGGGGAGGAACACCGGUGGCGAAGGCGGCCAUCUGGACGGAUACUGACGCUGAGACGCGAAAGCGUGGGGAGCAAACAGG
rnacentral:rRNA from 1 species